AUUGAACGCUGGCGGCAGGCCUAACACAUGCAAGUCGAGCGGAGCGGCGGAGGGGUGAGUAAUGCCUAUGACUCUGACUCGUAGUGAGGGAUAACGUUCGGAACCGGGAGCUAAUACCGAUUACUAUCACAUGCGGCUAGGUCGGAUUAGCUAGGUGGUGGGGUAAAGGCCUCCAAAGGCGACGACCCGUAACUGGUCUGAGAGGAUGAGCAGUCACACUGGAAAUGAGACACGGUCCAGACUCCUACGGGAGGCAGCAGUGGGGAAUAUUGUACAAUGGGCGCAAGCCUGAUGCAGCCAUGCCGCGUGUGUGAAGAAGGUCUUCGGAUUGUAAAGCACUGUAAGUUGGGAGGCGUUACCCGCAGAAUAAGCACCGGCUAACUUCGUGCCAGCAGCCGCGGUAAUUC
rnacentral:rRNA from 1 species